UCGGGAAUUUUGGGCAAUGGGCGCAAGCCUGAUCCAGCCAUGCCGCGUGAGUGACGAAGGCCUUAGGGUUGUAAAACUCUUUCGUCGGGGACGAUAAUGACGGUACCCGAAGAAGAAGCUCCGGCUAACUUCGUGCCAGCAGCCGCGGUAAUACGAAGGGAGCUAGCGUUGUUCGGAAUCACUGGGCGUAAAGCGCACGUAGGCGGAUAGUUAAGUCAGGGGUGAAAUCCUGGGGCUCAACCCCAGAACUGCCUUUGAUACUGGCUGUCUCGAGGUCGAGAGAGGUUGGUGGAAUUCCUAGUGUAGAGGUGAAAUUCGUAGAUAUUAGGAAGAACACCAGUGGCGAAGGCGGCCAACUGGCUCGAUACUGACGCUGAGGUGCAAAAGCGUGGGGAGCAAACAGGAUUAGAUACCCCUGUAGUCCCUGAGCGGGCUGGCAAGGCGCAU
rnacentral:rRNA from 1 species